rnacentral:rRNA from 1 species
UACGUAGGGUGCGAGCGUUAAUCGGAAUUACUGGGCGUAAAGCGUGCGUAGGCGGUUCUCCAAGUCCGUUGUGAAAGCCCCGGGCUCAACCUGGGAAUGGCAAUGGAAACUAGGGGACUGGAAUCUGGCAGAGGGGGGUGGAAUGCCGCGUGUAGCAGUGAAAUGCGUAGAGAUGCGGCGGAACACCGAUGGCGAAGGCAGCCCCCUGGGCUGAGAUUGACGCUCAGGCACGAAAGCGUGGGGAGCAAACAGG